AGAGUUUGAUCCUGGCUCAGGAUGAACGCUAGCGGCAGGCUUAAUACAUGCAAGGCGAGGGGGCAGCAAUGUCACCGUCGUACGGGUGCGUAACGCGUAUGCAACCUACCUUCAACUGGGGGAUAGCCCGGGGAAACCCGGAUUAAUACCGCAUAACACAUUUGUAUAGCAUUAUAUGAUUUGUUAAAGAUUUAUUGGUUGAAGAUGGGCAUGCGUUCGAUUAGCUAGUUGGCAGGGUAACGGCCUACCAAGGCAACGAUCGAUAGGGGAGCUGAGAGGUUGAUCCCCCACACGGGCACUGAGAUACGGGCCCGACUCCUACGGGAGGCAGCAGUAGGGAAUAUUGGGCAAUGGAUGCAAGUCUGACCCAGCCAUGCCGCGUGCCGGAUGAAGGCCCUCAGGGUUGUAAACGGCUUUUAUUCGGGAAGAAGAGCAGGGAUGCGUCCCUGUGUGACGGUACCGAAUGAAUAAGCACCGGCUAACUCCGUGCCAGCAGCCGCGGUAAUACGGAGGAUCCAAGCGUUAUCCGGAAUCAUUGGGUUUAAAGGGUCCGUAGGCGGUUUGGUAAGUCAGUGGUGAAAGCCCGCAGCUCAACUGUGGAACGGCCAUUGAUACUGCCAGACUUGAAUUACAAGGAAGUAACUAGAAUAUGUAGUGUAGCGGUGAAAUGCUUAGAUAUUACAUGGAAUACCAAUUGCGAAGGCAGGUUACUACUUGUGGAUUGACGCUGAUGGACGAAAGCGUGGGGAGCGAACAGGAUUAGAUACCCUGGUAGUCCACGCCGUAAACGAUGUCUACUAGCUGUUCGUGGUCUUGUACUGUGAGUAGCGCAGCUAACGCACUAAGUAGACCGCCUGGGGAGUACGGUCGCAAGAUUAAAACUCAAAUGAAUUGACGGGGGCCCGCACAAGCGGUGGAGCAUGUGGUUUAAUUCGAUGAUACGCGAGGAACCUUACCUGGGCUAAAUCACACUAGACGUAUUCAGAAAUGGGUGUUCCAGCAAUGGCUGGUGUGAAGGUGCUGCAUGGCUGUCGUCAGCUCGUGU
rnacentral:rRNA from 1 species